rnacentral:lncRNA from 1 species
AAAAAUAUAGAUGGUGUGACUAUCAGAAUACUACAAAAUCACCGAUCGAUUGUCUUGUACUCCUCUUGUAUGCCGCAGAUUUAUAAAUUUUAGCUCCGUUUCAUAAUUGAUGAUGAUGGAACGGUAUGUACCCUUGGUUGGAAUUUGAUGAUUUGAUGGUGUGCUACAAGUUUGGUUAACACAUUGGAAAUAAAAUUCUGAUUUCUUUUUUUCUUUUUUUUAACAAUAUAUAUUUCGACAGAAAAUUAAAGAUAAGUAACUCGCUAGAAAGGCUUAGCUUUGAUACCAAAUGAUAGACUCCACGGCACACUUGCGUGAGGUGGUCGUCGCCUGGAUCGUUUCUAGCACAGUUGUUG